rnacentral:tRNA from 2 species
GGGAACAUAGCUCAGUUGGUAGAGCGCAUGACUGUUAAUCAUGAUGUCACAGGUUCGAGCCCUGCUGUUCCCG